GCUGGCCCUGGCGCAGGGCCCGCAGGCGCUCCUGCUCGGCGCGGGCGUCGAAGGCCCGGCGGUUCAGGGCGCCGGUCAGCG
rnacentral:tRNA from 1 species